UACACAUAGAGAAUGUCGACAAGUAAGGCUAAUAUGAGUACUGGAUUAUUUUUAUUUUGCUUUACUAACUGUACAGUCCCAUAAACGCUCUUCAAAAGAUCCUUGAAGAAAUGGACCUUUUUUAACGCUUUUUGAAGAAUGACAAAAUUCACAGAAGUUACUCGUCCUUAAAAAUAUUUCGAUUAUAUAACAAACGACGAUUAGAUCUGGAGGAACAGAGGGAGAUCGUGUGAGUCACAUCAAUUUCGAAAUGCUAUCACUUCCACAAGGAUACAAGUGCAAGAAGUUUUUAUAGCAACAACAGCAAUAACAACGACUACAACAACAACAAUAACAACAUCAAUGGCCAAGUACUUUGAUAUCGUCGAUGCUGACUGUACCCUAAAUGGACCGUAUAUAUAUCACAUUUAGCCGAUUUCAAUUUGAAAAGUAUUCCAAUUAAAGCGUUGCCUUAACUGUA